rnacentral:rRNA from 1 species
UACGGAGGAUGCGAGCGUUAUCCGGAUUCAUUGGGUUUAAAGGGUGCGCAGGCGGAAUAAUAAGUCAGUGGUGAAAUCUCCCGGCUCAACCGGGAAACUGCCAUUGAUACUGUUGUUCUUGAGUACAGUUGAAGUGGGCGGAAUGUGUCAUGUAGCGGUGAAAUGCUUAGAUAUGACACAGAACACCGAUAGCGAAGGCAGCUCACUAAGCUGUAACUGACGCUCAUGCACGAAAGCGUGGGGAUCAAAC